CUAGUUUCAUUCUGCUGCUGUGAUGAAGCAUUGUGAUGCAAAGCAGCUUAGGAGAAGAAAGGGCUUUAUCAGGUCAUUGUCCAUCACCUAGGGAGGGUGGGGCAGGAACCCAAACAGGAAGUUGAAGGAGAGACCACGAAGUAAAGCUGCUUUCUGACUCACUCAAGGUCUCAUGCUUUGCUAACUUUCUUAUACAGCCAAGAACUACCUACCCAGGGGAUGGUGAUGCCCACAGUGGGCUGGGCCCUCUUGCAUCAAUUAAUAGUCAAAACAGUCCCACACAGACAUGCCCACAGGCCAAUCUGAUAAAGACAAUUACUCACCAAGACUUUAUUGUCAGGGCUUCUAGGUCCCUUCAAGUUGACAGUUAAUGCUAACUAUGGUGGCCCCUGAGGUCCAUAUGUUGCAGGGUUGGUCUCCAGGAGUCUGGUAUCAGGAGAUGUUGUGGACUUUUAAGAGGCCAAACCAGUGAAGACACUGAGCGACUUGGAAGCUUCAGUACUAUGGACUAAAUAAACUCUUUUUCAUAUAA